rnacentral:rRNA from 1 species
CAGAGGGUGCAAGCGUUGUUCGGAAUUACUGGGCGUAAAGCGCGUGUAGGCGGUCUUUCAAGUCCUGUGUGAAAGCCCUGGGCUCAACCCAGGAAGUGCGCAGGAUACUGAUUGACUGGAGUGGCGGAGAGGAUGGCGGAAUUCCCGGUGUAGAGGUGAAAUUCGUAGAUAUCGGGAGGAACACCUGUGGCGAAGGCGGCCAUCUGGACGUUCACUGACGCUGAGACGCGAAAGCGUGGGUAGCAAACAGGAUUAGAUACCCUGGUAGUCCACGCUGUAAACGAUGGAUGCUAGAUGUCACGGGCAUUGACCCCUGUGGUGUCGACGCUAACGCAUUAAGCAUCCCGCCUGGGGAGUACGGCCGCAAGGUUA